rnacentral:rRNA from 1 species
GAUGAACGCUAGCUACAGGCUUAACACAUGCAAGUCGAGGGGCAGCAUGUCGGUUGCUUGCAACCGAUGAUGGCGACCGGCGCACGGGUGAGUAACGCGUAUCCAACCUACCCUUGUCCAUCGGAUAACCCGUCGAAAGGCGGCCUAACACGAUAUGCGGGUCACAGCAGGCAUCUAACGCGAACGAAAUGUGAAGGAGAAGGAUGGGGAUGCGUCUGAAUAGCUUGUUGGCGGGGUAACGGCCCACCAAGGCUACGAUCAGUAGGGGUUCUGAGAGGAAGGUCCCCCACAUUGGAACUGAGACACGGUCCAAACUCCUACGGGAGGCAGCAGUGAGGAAUAUUGGUCAAUGGACGAGAGUCUGAACCAGCCAAGUAGCGUGCAGGAUGACGGCCCUAUGGGUUGUAAACUGCUUUUAUAGGGGGAUAAAGUGUGCCACGUGUGGCAUAUUGCAGGCACCCUAUGAAUAAGGACCGGCUAAUUCCGUGCCAGCAGCCGCGGUAAAAC